rnacentral:misc_RNA from 1 species
AUGCGAUAUUGGUUCAUUGAUGUGAUAUCUAUAACAAUAGUAAAGGACAAGGAGAAGGCGUGGACGCGAAAAGAGCACGUGAAGGCACAGUCAUGGCGCUAACUGCCAACGGCGCCAACGCGUGCAGGCACUCCCGGCUGCCUCGCCGUUAUUCUGGACACCUCCACACUGCCUGACCAAGCGCGAAUGAUCGACCAGUUGGGGCAUAACUUGGUCACGUACUUGUCCACGUUGGCAACUAUAGGCGGCGUCUCGCAAGUCACGGCGAAACUCCUUCAGCAAGCGGUGGACCUGCAUCUCGAAAUCAAGGCAGCUCUGGCCGUGGCUACCACAGGAUCACCCCUAGCAUACAUAACGGCACCCGCCAUGACUACUACCAAGGCAAACCUUGUGGUCAUCCGCGGACUGAGCUCGCAAGCGUUUGGCGAUGCAGUAGCGGCCAAGACGCCUUACCCUCGCGACGCCGCAAUAGAUCUCGACCAGCGGGUUCCGUCGUCCUUGGAAAAUGUCUUCGGCAAGAUCACAUCGCAAGAGUUGUAUCUGUGGACCAGCUGGAGCGUCCUGGGCGAGCUAGCCCGCCACGUGGACCCCUGGAUUUCCCGGGAACAGCCCUAUGGCUCACUUGUCUGCGUCAAAAGGGUUAAACACAUCAUGGCCGUACCUCUGGCAGCAACUGCAUUCCGUCACAGUGUCGAUGCAACAAAUUUCAUGACGAAAUUAACCGACGUCCUCGUGCACUGCUUUGCGACAAACGCUUCGCGCUGGCUUCGCCGUCCUGGCCUGGCCACCGUAGUCGUCGGUUUCCCUCCCAGCGAGGACACCAUCGAGAAGCUCGACAAGCAAUACGACGCAUAUCCGAAGCACGUAAUAGGGAGGAACGACUUCUUGACGGAUUGGGUGCAAGCCGCCAAGGCGAGGAAACAACACAUUAACACGUCCGCCGUUCACUUCGACCCAUCGGUAGUCGACGUCAUAGUGUCUCGAGACGGGCUGGUUAUAGUACCGGAGGCCACUUCUUACCUCCUGUACGACAGCGAUUCCCCGACCUCGUUCUUGUUUGGCAACAUUGGUCACAUGAUCGCCAGACGCUUCGUUCAAAGGAUGUUCUUGCCCACGGCACGGCCGGAUGCCCAAUGCGUUCCACCGGACGCGUCGAAGGCGGCGGGCGUUUUCGAGAAUCUGCUGGCGUACCAGUGCGCCAGACACGUCUUCGCCGUCGAGCUCCAGCGCAACGCCAGCGCAGCAUUGUGGCUGCCCAUGCACUUGCGCCUUACUCCGCAGAGGCAGUUCUUCACCUUCGGGUGUUUGAAGGCGACGCACGACCAUCCUGCCGCUCCGCUUUGUGCUGCUCGCGCAAGCCGCCGUGCUGCUGCUGUUCUGCAGCAUCCGGUGCGCGGCGUUGAACGACGAGGAGCGCGCAAACAUCGUCCAGCUGCACAACCAGAUACGAAAUUCGGUGGCCAUGGGCAAGGAGAAGAAAUGGCCGGCCGCGUCUGACAUGCUGCAGAUGAGCUACAGUCUACAUUUGGAGGAGCUCGCCAAGACCCACUUAUCGAACUGCGUGUUUGAGCCUGGCUGUAUAGGCUGCCACAUCGGUCUCGACAACCGGCCGGGACAGAACUUGUACGCCAUGGCUGGUCCUGCCA